rnacentral:rRNA from 1 species
CCUACGGGUGGCAGCAGUGGGGAAUAUUGCACAAUGGGCGCAAGCCUGAUGCAGCCAUGCCGCGUGUGUGAAGAAGGCCCUAGGGUUGUAAAGCACUUUCAGCAGUGAGGAAAGGUGUGUGGUUAAUACCCGCAUACUGUGACGUUAACUGCAGAAGAAGCACCGGCUAACUCCGUGCCAGCAGCCGCGGUAAUACGGAGGGUGCAAGCGUUAAUCGGAAUUACUGGGCGUAAAGCGCGCGUAGGUUGAUUGGUCAGUCAGAUGUGAAAGCCCCGGGCUCAACCUGGGAACUGCACCUGAUACUGCCAGUCUAGAAUACGGUAGAGGGUAGUGGAAUUUCCUGUGUAGCGGUGAAAUGCGUAGAUAUAGGAAGGAACACCAGUGGCGAAGGCGACUACCUGGACCGAUAUUGACACUGAGGUGCGAAAGCGUGGGGAGCA